GCAUGCCUACAACAGAGCGUUAAUACAUUGAAUCCCAUUAGAACUCCAUAGUUAAGCGUGCUCAGGCUAGAGUAGUACUGGGAUGAGUGACCACCCAGGAAGUCUUAGUGUUUUACAUGCC
rnacentral:rRNA from 1 species